CAACAACGGUUUCCUGGUUCGACGUGGUUCGGAGGUCCUGAGGCAGCAUCGAGCUCCGCUCACGACGCGCCACCGGCGAGUGCAGAGCAAGACAACGACGUUUACCUAUGAGAACUUGCGUGGAAUAUAAGGCCUUGGCCUUCUCGCAAAAAAAAUGGUCGACUGGAGUUCUUUUUUUCUUUUUGAGCAAAAUGGUCGACGUGAGUUGGACGAGCCGGCGAAUAGAUCCCCUGUUUCCCGUCUCUCCUUUUUUUUUUUGAGCGAAGUCCCGAACGCAGAAGCCAGGCCCACGCAGCGUUCCCAGGCCCAAGAAGUCACGAGACAGCCAAUCAUGUUACGUGACUCAAGUCGUUGCUUUUCUUUUUUUUCCUUCCUUAAUUAACUCAAACAGCCAGAUUUUUUUCUCAAUAAAAUGAAGCCAGAUUUAGCAAACCUACUACUCCCUCGUGCCGGAAUCACAUUCGGAAUGAGUACCUAAUUUUUCGCCACGGCGCGCGUCCUACCUCACCUCACCAUGGCCUACCAAGAGCUCCGCCAAAACCUUGCUGAAAAACAACAACCGCCGCCGCCACUGCUUACUCCCGGUCAAGAAAAGAACUUUUUUUUUUCGUUCUUCUACCGAUCCGAGCCGGACCGCACCAGCCGGCCUGAAUCGCACCCCGCCGAGCCAGCUCCGCCCGGAGCAAAACCCAGUGACAAGGAUGGCCCGAUCUUCUCGUUGAGCUCGUAGUAGAUGGAUGAUAAUUCGCGAAACGCUGACGAAUCUCUGACUGGUCUCUCGUUGCCAUGCAACAAUUCUUAACCCUAAUUGAUAUUCGCAACACCACACGCUUGUGCACGUAGUCGCCGACCACGAAGCGGUCUGCAAUCUAUCAAUUUUCAAUGGAACAAUAGAUAGCACUCAAAUCUUCAGUAGCAACACACC
rnacentral:lncRNA from 1 species